UACGUAGGGGGCAAGCGUUGUCCGGAUUUAUUGGGCGUAAAGAGCGUGUAGGCGGCCAUGCAGGUCCGUUGUGAAAACUCGAGGCUCAACCUCGAGACGCCGAUGGAAACCGCAUGGCUAGAGUCCGGAAGAGGAGAGUGGAAUUCCUGGUGUAGCGGUGAAAUGCGCAGAUAUCAGGAAGAACACCCGUGGCUAAGGCGGCUCUCUAGUACGGUACUGACGCUGAGACGCGAAAGCCAGGGGAGCGAACGGG
rnacentral:rRNA from 1 species